AUUGAACGCUGGCGGCAUGCUUUACACAUGCAAGUCGAACGGCAGCGCGGGCUUCGGCCUGGCGGCGAGUGGCGAACGGGUGAGUAAUACAUCGGAACGUGCCCAGUAGUGGGGGAUAGCUCGGCGACAGCCGGAUUAAUACCGCAUACGACCUGAGGGUGAAAGCGGGGGAUCUUCGGACCUCGCGCUAUUGGAGCGGCCGAUGGCCGAUUAGCUAGUUGGUGGGGUAAAGGCCUACCAAGGCGACGAUCUGUAGCUGGUCUGAGAGGACGACCAGCCACACUGGGACUGAGACACGGCCCAGACUCCUACGGGAGGCAGCAGUGGGGAAUUUUGGACAAUGGGCGAAAGCCUGAUCCAGCAAUGCCGCGUGUGUGAUGAAGGCCUUCGGGUUGUAAAGCACUUUUGGCGGGAACGAAAAGGACUGUGCUAAUACCACGGUUCGAUGACGGUACCCGAAGAAUAAGCACCGGCUAACUACGUG
rnacentral:rRNA from 1 species